rnacentral:tRNA from 1 species
CGACUAGUUCCGGGUUCGAGUCCCGGGCAACCCAC